UUGUAUUACCGGAGAGAAAUCUCGUCAGGUCGAUAGUUAGGUCGCGAAUAUUUAUAUUUAAGCGUAAUUCUAAGUACGCCGCCCUAAUUGGGAAAAGCCCUUGCGGGCUUUUUUCUUUUGAUA
rnacentral:ncRNA from 1 species